ACUGUGCAGGGGGAAACACCAGCAGGCAGAGAUAUGAUCUGUCCCAGCUGGAGUUAUUUGGCACGAGGCGCGGCAAGACGGGCUGGAACACUGCAGACAGGCACAGAGCCCCCUGUCACAGGCGGUAAUCAAGAAAGGACGGGCCUCUGAGGGUAUCCUGAGCCAUCUCAGCCAUCCUGACCACUGCCACAGACAUACCGCAGCUUCCACUCCAGGAUGAGUUUGUGCCCAGAAGGUCAUCAAGUCAAGGGAAACCACAGCCCUCAGGCUAUGGCUCAAGGGGGAAGACCGAGGCUCAGAGCGGCCCGUGACCUGCUGGGCUCACACAGUGGAAUGGGGAGCCAGCCGGGAGCCAGGCAUCUCUCCCCCAGCCCACAGCCCUGAGGCUUGCAGAGGAAGCAGCUCUCCAAGGCCGGGCGGAGCCGGUGGGAAAGAACAUGGAAUGUGCCGGAACAAGCCACCUCAUCCAUCACUGUCCCUGUCUGCCUGUGGUUCCCAGCCCGCCCAGCUUGGCUGAGAACUGGCCACAGCCCAGAGCUCCCAGCCCUGGGGUUCUAGAACCUUCUUCUGCCCGCCUCCAGUCUGCAAAGCGGCCAGAAAUAAUAAGGUCCUGCUUUGAUCAUGUAGGGUCUGACCUACUGGUACCUCUACUGACCCUUGCAAAGGCCGUGGGAAAGUAGGAAGCUGAGCAGGUCACCCGCAUCGGGCCCUUUGCACAGGGAGGGGUGGGCACCGACGGUAGGUCAGGAAGCCCCGGUGAUAAAGCCCUGACUGUGUGCUGGGCCUGUGCCAAGGCCUCCUGCGAUUCAGCUCAGCUCACCCGGCAACAAGCCUGCGAGGCAGGCAUAGGAGGAAACCCAGACUCGAACCCAGGCCAUCUGGCCCCAGGAGGCACACUCUCUGUGGGGCUUUAGGGUGCUGGGGCCCUGCUCCGGGGUCUGCUGUCCUAGGAUGGACACAGCCCCACCCCAGACCCCUCUCCUGGAGCGGACAAGCAAGCAGGCAGGGGUUCCUGAGGCCUGCGGGAGGCUGGGGGCCCCCAAUUUUCUGAGCCCCCGCUGCAUCCCCAGGAGGACAGGGCCUAGCCUCAGAAGCACCAGAGCAGAAGGCUCCUGGGGCUGCUGGCGGGCAGGGGUCUGGGAGUGCAGAGCCGGGGUCCUGCCCUCCUCUGUAAAGGGCAGAACACGGGGCUAGAGCAAGGGGUCUGGACACCACGCUGCCCUCAGCCUCCGUGUCCACACCUGUACAUGGGGGUGGGGAGUGAGCACAAAGCGUGCACAGGGACCACUGAGUAUCGCUGAGGCCAAGAAGACCACGUCCCCAAUGGGGCCUGACUGGGCUCCUGGCUGUCACCCAGUCGUCAUAGCUUCCUUACAGGAACACAAGGAGGAGAAAGCCCCCUCGAGGUCGCGGGCCAAGGCCAGUCUCCCUGGGUGCGCCACACCCCUGUGACACAGUGAGCCUGUCUGCCUGUCUUCCCUAUCCUCCAAGAGGGGAGGGAGCACGGGGCAGAGCCAGGAGCAGGGUCUGUCUCUGAAUUCCCAGCUUCUGCCCUCAGCCGGCUAGCAGGCCAACAUUGUAACACCCCAGCCAAGGUAAACCCAUGCACUUGGCUUUCUCGGGAACCAGAGGGGAAAGCUGGUCCUUCUAAGACAUAUUUCCUAA